rnacentral:rRNA from 1 species
AUUGAACGCUGGCGGCAUGCUUAACACAUGCAAGACGAACGGCAGCAUGGAGAGCUUGCUCUCUGAUGGCGAGUGGCGAACGGGUGAGUAAUGCAUCGGAACGUACCGUGUAAUGGGGGAUAACGUAGCGAAAGUUACGCUAAUACCGCAUACGACCUGAGGGUGAAAGCAGGGGAUCGCAAGACCUUGCGUUAUACGAGCGGCCGAUGUCAGAUUAGCUAGUUGGUAGGGUAAAGGCCUACCAAGGCGACGAUCUGUAGCGGGUCUGAGAGGAUGAUCCGCCACACUGGGACUGGGACACGGCCCAGACUCCUAAGGGCGGCAGCAGUGGGGAAGUUUGGACAAUGGGGGCAACCCUGAUCCAGCCAUGCCGCGUGAGUGAAGAAGGCCUUCGGGUUGUAAAGCUCUUUCGGCCGGGAAGAAAUCGCACAGGCUAAUACUCUGUGUGGAUGACGGUACCGGCAUAAGAAGCACCGGCUAACUACGAGCCAGCAGCCGCCGUAA